rnacentral:rRNA from 1 species
GAUUAUGGCUCAGGAUGAACGCUAGCGACAGGCUUAACACAUGCAAGUCGAGGGGCAGCAUAGAAGUAGCAAUACGUUGGUGGCGACCGGCGCGACGGGUGAGUAACGCGUAUGCAACCUACCUAUCAGAGGGGAAUAACCCGGCGAAAGUCGGACUAAUACCGCAUAAAACAGGGGCACCGCAUGGUGAUAUUUGUUAAAGAAAUUCGCUGAUAGAUGGGCAUGCGUUCCAUUAGGUAGUUGGUGAGGUAACGGCUCACCAAGCCGACGAUGGAUAGGGGAACUGAGAGGUUGGUCCCCCACACUGGUACUGAGACACGGACCAGACUCCUACGGGAGGCAGCAGUGAGGAAUAUUGGUCAAUGGGCGGGAGCCUGAACCAGCCAAAGUCGCGUGAAGGAAGAAGGAUCUAUGGUUCGUAAACUUCUUUUGCAGGGGAAUGAAGUACGGUACGUGUACCGUUUUGUAUGUACCCUUCGAAUAAGGAUCGGCUAACUCCGUGCCAGCAGCCGC